rnacentral:rRNA from 1 species
GCUUAACGUUGCGCGUGCAGUGGGUACGGGCUGACUAGAGUGCAGUAGGGGAGUCUGGAAUUCCUGGUGUAGCGGUGAAAUGCGCAGAUAUCAGGAGGAACACCGGUGGCGAAGGCGGGACUCUGGGCUGUAACUGACACUGAGGAGCGAAAGCAUGGGGAGCGAACAGGAUUAGAUACCCUGGUAGUCCAUGCCGUAAACGUUGGGCACUAGGUGUGGGGGACAUUCCACGUUCUCCGCGCCGUAGCUAACGCAUUAAGUGCCCCGCCUGGGGAGUACGGUCGCAAGGCUAAAACUCAAAGGAAUUGACGGGGGCCCGCACAAGCGGCGGAGCAUGCGGAUUAAUUCGAUGCAACGCGAAGAACCUUACCAAGGCUUGACAUACACUGGACCGUUCUGGAAACGGUUCUUCUCUUUGGAGCUGGUGUACAGGUGGUGCAUGGUUGUCGUCAGCUCGUGUCGUGAGAUGUUGGGUUAAGUCCCGCAACGAGCGCAACCCUCGUUCUAUGUUGCCAGCACGUGAUGGUGGGAACUCAUAGGAGACUGCCGGGGUCAACUCGGAGGAAGGUGGGGAUGACGUCAAAUCAUCAUGCCCUUUAUGUCUUGGGCUUCACGCAUGCUACAAUGGCUGGUACAGAG